GGAGAGAUGGCUCAGCAGUUAAGAGUACUGGCUGUUCUUCCAGAGGACCUGGGUUCAAUUCCUAGUGUCCCCA
rnacentral:tRNA from 1 species